rnacentral:rRNA from 1 species
AGUGAACGCUGGCGGUAGGCCUAACACAUGCAAGUCGAACGGCAGCACAGUAAGAGCUUGCUCUUACGGGUGGCGAGUGGCGGACGGGUGAGGAAUACAUCGGAAUCUACUUUUUCGUGGGGGAUAACGUAGGGAAACUUACGCUAAUACCGCAUACGACCUACGGGUGAAAGCAGGGGAUCUUCGGACCUUGCGCGAGUGAAUGAGCCGAUGUCGGAUUAGCUAGUUGGCGGGGUAAAGGCCCACCCAGGCGACGAUCCGUAGCUGGUCUGAGAGGAUGAUCAGCCACACUGGAACUGAGACACGGUGCAGACUCCUACGGGAGGCAGCAGUGGGGAAUAUUGGACCAUGGGCGCAAGCCUGAUCCAGCCAUACCGCGUGGGUGAAGAAGGCCUUCGGGUUGUAAAGCCCUUUUGUUGGGAAAGAAAAGCAGCAGGUUAAUACCCCGCUGUUCUGACGGUACCCAAAGAAUAAGCACCGGCUAACUUCGUG